UGCGUAGGCGGCGUUGUAAGUCAGAAGUGAAAGCUUUCAGCUCAACUGGAAAAUUGCUUUUGAUACUGCAGUGCUUGAAUCAGGUUGAGGUUAGCGGAAUGUGACAUGUAGCGGUGAAAUGCAUGGAUAUGUCAUAGAACACCAAUUGCGAAGGCAGCUAACUAGGCCUGUAUUGACGCUGGGGCACGAAAGCGUGGGGAGCGAACAGGAUUAGAUACCCUGGUAGUCC
rnacentral:rRNA from 1 species